UGAUACAUGAGAAGACUUGACAAAGGGCGGACUUGACUUUACUUGUUUCAACUUAAAUUAUAUCUCCAGCAUCUAGUAUUGUUGUAUUAGUGCUCUCUUCCUUUCACCAUUUUGGCAGAGAAGAUAAUAGCCAGAGAACCCCCUCCCCGCCGCCCCCCCCCAAAAAAAAGCAGGAAAGAAGGACAGAAAAUAAGGGGGUCGUUCUUUCCUAGCAAUGGGAAAGAUGGUUUGCUCGGAGCUAGAUGAAGGCUUGGAUCUGUCUAGAUUUCUAAUGGUGAUUGUUAUAGUUCUCACCCUCAUGGUCAUCUGCAGACCGCCUCCUAGGCAAAACGUUCUCGCCGUGCAUCGCAUCCGUUGACAAUUUUGUUGUCGAUUUCAGAAUUCUCAGGCUGGUCAAGCCAAGUAUUUUCCUCAGGCUGUUUUUAUACUUGCGAUGAACGGUUGCUCGCUCUUAGUUAGGGAAGCAAGAAGGCUAAAAUAAAUCAUUACACGA